AGCUUCGUGCAGAGGCAGUAUCAUAGCCAGUGAGGUUUAGCCACGGUGUGAUUACUGCUAAUUGAAAACUUUUCCCCAUAGCUCACUGUGAUGACUUGUAAUACAGUCAGCAUUAAAAAUAAGAUAAAUAUGACACAUUAC
rfam:Macaca fascicularis chromosome 2, whole genome shotgun sequence.